rnacentral:rRNA from 1 species
GACGAACGCUGGCGGCGUGCCUAAUACAUGCAAGUUGAGCGCUGAAGGUUGGUACUUGUACCAACUGGAUGAGCAGCGAACGGGUGAGUAACGCGUGGGGAAUCUGCCUUUGAGCGGGGGACAACAUUUGGAAACGAAUGCUAAUACCGCAUAAAAACUUUAAACACAAGUUUUAAGUUUGAAAGAUGCAAUUGCAUCACUCAAAGAUGAUCCCGCGUUGUAUUAGCUAGUUGGUGAGGUAAAGGCUCACCAAGGCGAUGAUACAUAGCCGACCUGAGAGGGUGAUCGGCCGCAUUGGGACGGAGACACGGCCCAAACGCCUACGGGAGGCAGCAGUAGGGAAUCUUCGGCAAUGGACGAAAGUCUGACCGAGCAACGCCGCGUGAGGGAAGAAGGUUGUCGGAUCGUAAAACUCUGUUGGUAGAGAAGAACGUUGGUGAGAGUGGAAAGCUCAGCAAGUGACGGUAACUACCCAGAAAGGGACGGCUAACUACGUG